rnacentral:lncRNA from 1 species
CUCCAACUUGCUUCACCAACCAUUGCCACGUGGCACAAUCAUGGCCAUUGAAUCAUGAACGGUUGAGAUUUAGUCAAGAUUGCCAGUUAUCCCAUGCACUCAUAUCUAUUGUAAGCUCAUUUCAUCAUCCAAUCAGUGCUCGGUCAACAGGAAAAGUCAACUUUUUUUACACAAGCCCAAUUUUAAGCCGAUCUUGAUUGAUCUUAAGGUUUUCAGACCUCCGAAAUUCAAAUUUGACCUCCGUUUAUCUGUUUGGGGCCUCGAAGUACGUGAAAUUAAUAAUUUUCCUAAUAAACACAUAAAAAUACACAAAAUUAAAUAUAUUUAAAACAUAAUUAAUAAUUCAUAAUAUAUUACAUAAACACAAAUAUAAAUUAUAACAUAAGCAUAAAAUAACAUAUUGUCGCUUGAUAAUUAAACAAUUUUUAAUACUAAUCACACCCCCCAACCAGCUUAUUGCUAGCCCUCUAGCAAUUAAAGCGUUAUAUUAAAUUAAGAUUUAUAAAAUUCACAUGCAAGUUAAUAGUUGUUCAUCUAUCCUCUAAAUUACCAAACAAAUGAACUCUCCCAAAUUCCUUUACCACAUUGAUGUUCACUCAUUAUCUAGAAUAUCAUCAAACCUUCUUUUGUGCUCAAUUAAUUAACACAAUACUUAUGGGGCUUUAUUAAAAGAAAAACAACAUUUUCGUUCUAAAAUUCAUUAGAAAUUAUAUCUUUAGGCAAUAGAUUAUUCACACAUAUAUAUUUUUUUUAUAUAUUACAUUUCUAACCCGUGUAGCGAGCUUUAGGUCAGUGACUCCCAGACCAGUUGGCCUUAGGGCACUAGGUGUUGAAGCACCCCUACGGACUUAAUUACUCGGGUUUCUAAUAAACAAACAAUAUAUCUAUUACCCAUGUAGCGAGCUUUAGGCCAGUGACUCCCAGACCAGUUGACCUUAGGGCACUAGGUGUUGAAACACCCAUACGGACUUAAUUACUCGGGUUUCUAAUAAACAAACAAUAUAUCUAUUACCCAUGUAGCGAGCUUUAGGCCAGUGACUCCUAGACCAGUUGACCUUAGAUAUUUAAAAUAUACAUCAAUUAUCCCCACCCCACAACCUAAUCUAAACAUUAUCCUAACAUUUUAUAAUUUACAGAUAUGCAAAAAGAAAAAGAAAAAAUAAAAGAAGAAGAAGAGGAGAUCUCACCUGAACUUGAUGCAGAAGCUUAAAAGCAAAUAACAAAGAUGAAGAAAGAGUCAAUUUUUUUUUUUAACAACACCCUUAAGAUUAAGAAGAUGUGUUUCUAGAGAGACUACAUUCUUUAUAUUCUGCCAUCUUCGACUCAAAUUUGUCCUAAGUUAGUCUUUACAGAAAAAAAAAAAUUUUGUUAUUGUUUUUUUUUUUUUUAAACACAUAACCAGGACUAAGACAUUCCACAAUUAUCAACUAUUCCCUCCCCCCAACCUGAAAAAGACAUUGUCCUCAAUGUUUUAAAAGGAAAGAGAAAGAGUGUAGAAGACAUCACAUGAACACUACAACAGAAAAUAUUUACAAACGGAGAGUUAAAUCUAAAUCGCACUUCUUAUUACUGCUACUGUUACCGUUACCAUCAUUAGUCGACCAAUUCAGUGCAACAGUCUGUGGAUCUGGCUCUGGUGUAUAAACUUGUAAAAGAUCAAGUAACUCAUUAGCAGUAGAAGCAGAGAUAAAGAGUUUUUUUACAGAAUGUGGAACAAAAUGAUUCUUUAUUGCAUGGUUAAUAAAAGUUAGCAAGCCAUCAUAAAAAUUAUUAACAUUUAACAAACCGAUGGGUUUUUUAUGAAUGUUCAAGUGGGCCCAAGAUGCAAAUGUAAUUAGUGCCUCAAAAGUUGCAAGAUCUCCUGGCAAGAAAAUAAAAGCAUCAGCAUGAUUCAUCAUUUCAGAUAUUCUCUCUUUCAUACUUGAUACCACUAAUUCUUCUCCAAUUGGUGGGCCAGACAUGCACACUAGCGGUUUCAUGGGUUUUGGGAUAAUGCCGAGUACUUGGCUUCCUCUAGUAAAAACAGCUUCUGAAACAAGUCUUGAUAACCCUCGUUUACCUCCUCCAUAUACAAGAUGCAGUUUCCUCUCUGCUAUGACACGGCCAAGAUCUACUGCUGCCUGAACAAACUCUUUGUACUUUCCAUAGUGAUACCCAGAAAGCACACAAAUAUUUUUGAAUUGUUUACUCGAAGAUGCUGCCAUUGGACUAAUUUUUCAAAAACAAGUUGCGAGUGUUUGAAAAACGAGCUCAUAUUUAAAGAUCUUGGUGACAUAAAUAAUGAGAAACAGCUGUAAAUGGGUUGGCAUAUUUGUCAAAUGACGAGGAAAGCUCGUGGCUCAAUAAUUCAAAAACAAACAGUAAAAAGAAAGUGAUUAUUAGAAAAAGAAAAUAGUAAAAGAAACCAAAUAUUUAUUAAAUACAAAAUCACAUCGCUAAAUGCAAUAAUGCAAACGAUAAAAUAACAGUAAAGUAAAAUAACAGUGAAGUGAAAGGAUAUUUACUGGUAGUUGUGAUUGUGGUUCACAUCUUCCUCUAGUUUUACGUCCAGUAAUGGCUUGAACGCCCUCUAUGGGUGGAGGAUCGGCUUCCCAUCCAGUUUUCUUAUAAACUGGCAAACAAGGUCUUUUUGAGUCAGAUUCCCAAGACUAAACUGUGCACUUUGUUUUUGGAAUAGUAUCCACAAAUUGUAAAUCUCACGUUGCACAAUUCCGCUUCGAUGCGUCUCAAGAGAUCGUAAGAUAUCAUCCAACGAUUCUUUACUCAUGCCAUCUUUAACGAAUUUAAUUUUAUCUUCACGAGUAUCAAAACCCAUUCCUAAAGAUUUACAAUCCGGUCGUUUGCAACCAAGUCUUACACAGUUAUGACAUUUUGAGCUAACUCGUUUAGCUCUCCUUUUCUUAGCAAACGUACUUUUACCAAAACCAGGCAUGUAAGAAACAAAUUGACCAGAAAACUCACCUGCUAAUCGGACCUUUGCUUCAAUUAACCAACGAAUGUCAGAAGGAAUGCCAUUGAUCAUUAACAAACGCAGUCGUUCACAACGAGCUUUGUAAAUUUUUCAUUUCAGUUCUCAAACAAUUGAGGUAUGUAAAUUAGCUCCUUCUAUCUUAUUAAUAAUCAUUUAAAAUUUCUGUUCGAAGAAUGUUCAUUUGCCGUGACAUGCUCCAUAUUCCUCAAAUUGUUUGAGCAGGACCUGACCAACCAAGCAAGGUUACUACAAUCUCAACUUUCUGAAAUGCAAAAUAAAUCAAAACACACCAAAAUCAAAUCUUUUUUUUUUUUUUUUUUUUUUUGGAUUCUGUUGCAUGCCCUUUUACAGAAUUCACCCAUGGUCAGUCGUCCUCUUGCUAAUUGUAUAUUUCAUUGAAUUCUGCAGGUAUUGAAAGCACACAAUAUAAAAGGAAAAUGAACUUACAUUCGUCCUCUCAUUGAGUUAACCUCAAGCUCCAUUUGAAAUUCAUAUAUGCCACUCUCUACUGUUCUGAGUUGUCCCUCUAGAUCCUCAACAUAGGACACGAAUUCUGGUGGUUGCAGAUCCCAAAGUGGAUGUGAUUUACAGCUUUGUAUCAGGCCUCUUAAGUGAAAUUUUAUACGCCAAAAUCUUUUAAGAUGUGCGAACAUGUAUUUUCUCAUUCUGCUGUACGGCCAAGGCGGUGUGCGAACAUGUAUUUUCUCAUUGAGGUGCUCAUGAUGUAAAAUGAAAAUUGAUGAGAGAAUGUACAACUGUCAAACAAACACGCUUACACAAGAAAAACAAUGUUAAAAAAAAACUAUGUACAGUGCAUAAAUCUAAAGAAAAAAAAUCAAAGAAUGAAACGGUAAAAUAAUAGUAAAACAAAAAAAAUCAUUAAAGACUUAAUCAAGAACUGGUGGGUCAUCCAAAUUAAUUUCGGUGUCCUCGUCACGUGGGUGAUGUUCCAGAUAUGGUUUUAAUUUUUGACCAUUAACUUUAAAUGUGACACCGUUAUUUGGAUUCUCAAUUUCUAUGGCCCCAUAUGAAUAUACAUUUUUUACAACAAAUGGGCCACUCCAUUUUGACUUUAACUUCCCUGGAAAUAAAUGAAGACGAGAAUUAUAAAGCAACACUUUUUGACCAAUCUCAAAUGUUUUUCGAAAAAUUCUUUUAUCAUGAAAUGCUUUUGUUCUUGCCUUAAUAAUUCUUGAAUUUUCAUAUGCAUCAUUCCUUAAUUCCUCAAGUUCAUCCAAUUGCAAUUUUCGCACAUUACCAGCAUCAUCCAAAUUUGAAUUAAAAGCUUUAAUAGCCCAAAGUGAUUUAUGUUCAAGUUCAACAGGUAAAUGACAAGGUUUACCAUAAAUUAACCGAUAGGGUGACAUUCCUAAUGAUGUUUUAAAUGCAGUGCGGUAAGCCCAAAGUGCAUCAUUAAGUCUAAGAGACCAAUCUUUUCGGUUUGGGUUAACCGUUUUUUCCAAAAUAAAUGCAAAAUAAUAAUAGAAAAAAAUGGUGGUUGAACCCACCAAUUAAAAAAUAAAAAAUUAAAUAAAUACUGAAAAUUAAAGUUAAGAGUUAGUAGUUAGUUUGGUGGUUAAACCCACCAAUGAAGCAAAAAUAAAUAAAUAAAUACGAAAUAACAUAAAUGCAGAAAAUUAAAUAACUGAAAUUAAAAAAAAAGUUAGGAGUUAGCAGUUAGUAAGUUAAGAGUUAAUAAUUAGAGUUAGUAGUUAAAGUUAGUUUGGUCCAAAAUAUGUUCAAAUAUGUCCAAAGUAUGUCCAAAAUAUGUCCAAAGUAUGUCCAAGUCUUGAUUAUUUUGAGGAAUUUCGUCUAGGGAUUUUAUUACAAAUUAUUUUUAAUUUUAUGGUCAAACUGUAAUUUUUAGACUGCUGUACCGUACAUCCGCCUUGGCCGUACAGCAGAUUUAUGUUCAAGUUCAACAGGUAAAUGACAAGGUUUACCAUAAAUUAACCGAUAGGGUGACAUUCCUAAUGAUGUUUUAAAUGCAGUGCGGUAAGCCCAAAGUGCAUCAUUAAGUCUAAGAGACCAAUCUUUUCGGUUUGGGUUAACCGUUUUUUCCAAAAUCUGCUGUACGGCCAAGGCGGAUGUACGGUAAUUUUCAGCACCCUUUUUAUCUUUGAUGGUAAGGUCAAAUUCUUGUAGUAACAAAAUCCAACGAAUUAGUCUCGGUUUGGCAUCCUGUUUACUCAUCAAAUAUCUCACAGCAGCGUGGUCAGUAAACACAACAGAUUUAGAGCCAAGCAAAUAUGAACGGAAUUUGUUUAAUGCAAAUACCACAGCAAGUAAUUCUUUUUCAGUUGUAGAAUAAUUCAUUUGAGCACUAUCCAAAGUCUUACUCGCAUAAUAAAUCACAAUAGGCUUACCAUCCCUUCUUUGUCCUAAAACAGCACCAACAGCAAAAUCACUUGCAUCACACAUUAAUUCAAAUGGCAAAGACCAAUCAGGAGAUUACAUAAUAGGUGCAGAUAGUUUAGAUAUGACACUAAAAUUUGUUAUAAAUCUCCUAUAAAAUCCUGCAUGUCCUAAAAAGGAUCGCACAUCUCUAACUGUUUUUGGUUGUGGCAAUUUAGAUAUGACUUCGAUUUUUGCUUUGUCAACUUCAAUUCCUUUAAUAGAAACAACAUGACCCAAAACAAUUCCAGAAGGAACCAUGUAGUGACAUUGACUUCAAUUUUUGCUUUGUCAACUUGAAUUCCUUUAACAGAUACAACAAGACCCAAAAUAAUUUCAGAAGUAACCAUGUAAUGGUAUUUUUCCCAAUUUAAAACGAGUUCUUUUUCAACACAUCUUUUUAAAACUUUUUUCAAAUUAUCAAGGCAAUCAUCAAAAGAAUUCCCAAACACAGUCAAAUCAUCCAUAAAGACCUCUAAACAAUGUUCAACCAUAUCACAAAAAAUGCUUAACAUACAUCUUUGAAAUGUUGCAGGAGCAUUACAAAGCCCGAAUGGCAUUCUUUUAAAUGCAAAUGUUCCAAAAGGACAUGUGAAUGUGGUCUUUUCUUGGUCCUCAAGUGCUAUAGGAAUUUGAUAAUAACCUGAAUAUCCAUCUAAAAAACAGUAGUAGGGAUGUCCUGCUACUCUUUCUAAGAUUUGGUCAAGGAAUGGUAAUGGAAAAUGAUCUUUUCUAGUGGCUUCAUUUAAUUUUCUAUAAUCAAUGCACAUGCGCCAACUAGAUGUAAUUCGUGUUGGAAUUAAUUCACCUUUUUCAUUUUUAACAACAGUGAUUCCAGAUUUUUUAGGCACUACUUGUGUAGGACUUACCCACUUACUAUCAGAAAUAGGGUAGAUAAGUCCCACAUCAAGCAAUUUAAGGACUUCUAUUUUGACUACCUCUUUCAUGUGUGGGUUUAAUCUUCUUUGAGGUUGUUGACAUAUUUUAGCAUUUUCUUCCAAAUUAAUUCUAUGUGUGCAGAUUAAGGGAUUAAUGCCUUUAAUGUCAUUUAAAGUCCAUCCUAUUGCAUUUUUAUGCUUUUUAAGAACAGUAAGUAACUUACCUUCUUGGUCGCUUGUUAAAGUAGAAGAAAUCACAACAGGAUAAGUUUGUUCUCCUCCAAGAAAAGCAUACUUCAAUCUUUCAGGCAAAGGUUUCAAUUCCAUUUUAGGUGCUUCUUAUUGUUCUUUCUUUUCAAUACUUACAAGCUCCUCAAAUUUUGGCUCGUCAUCAUAAUUUUGCGAAGUCUGCAUAGAAUCAAGCAACGAAUUUAUAUUAGAAAUAUCAAGUUCAAGUUGCUUAUUUGACUCAAUUGAAUUAACUAAACAAACAUUAGAAAGUUCAGAAAAAUCCCCUUUUUGAAUAUUUUCCUUGAUACAAGAUUCAAACAAUUCUUUUUGUUCAUCCCUGUACGGCCAAGGCGGAUGUACGGUACAGCAGCUAUUCCUUUUGGUACUUUAACUGAUCUAUCGGCAAGUAAAAGUGUGGUUGAAGUUGAUUUUAACUCACCAAGAUUAAGUUGAAGAUAAACUGAAUAUGGAAGCAAAUUAACACUAGCACCAAGAUCUAGUAAAGCAUGCUCAAUUCUGUGGUUACCAAUAAUACAAGAAAUGGUAGGACAACCAGGAUCUUUAUAUUUCAACUUAUUAUUAGUAGACAGAAUUGUACUUACCUGUUCGGCCAUAAAAGCACUCUUUCUUACCUUCAAUUUCCUCUUAACAGUGCACAAGUCCUUUAAAAAUUUGGCAUAUGAAGGAACCUGCUUGAUUGCAUCUAAUAGAGGAAUGUUAGCUUUCACUUGCUUAAAGAUUUCAUAAAUUUCAGAAGAGUGGUCUGAUUUCUUUGGUUUAUUCAAUGCAUGCGGAAAUGGUGGUUCAGGUGGAACACUAGUUAUUUCCUCACUAGGUGUAAGUUCAUUUAGUCCUUCCUUACCCUUUGAUUUUUCAUCAUUUUCAUAAGGUUCAGGCAUAGGUCUAUCAACAACCUUACCACUACGAAGAGUUAUAACUGACUUGACUUGGUCUGUGGGUGGAUUUUGUUGAAUUUUAGGAUUUGGUUGUGGUUGGGCUGGAAAUUUUCCUUUUUCUUGAAUGGUGAGUGCAGAAGCAAUUUUAGCAAGAGUAUCUUUCAAAUCAGAAAAAGUUUGUGCAUUUUGAUUGUUAAUAACAUCUUGCUUUCUGAUGAAUGAAUGCAUUGUGUCUUCCAGAUUUUUCCAAGGUGGUGGAACAUAUGGUGCAUAAGGCUGAGGAUUUUGAAAAUUUUGUGGAGGUGGUGCUUGUGAAGAUUGUGCAUUAUUAUUAUUCCUCCAACUGAAAUUCGGAUGAUUUCUCCAACCAGGAUUAUAAGUCUGUGAAUAUGGGUUUGUAAGGAACUGUUGCUACUUUAAUAAAUAAUAAGAAUUGCUUCUAAAACUCUCUUUUCCCCUCUGGCCACUUCUUCUCAUUAUUCUUCUCAUCAAUUCGUCUCUUCUAAAUUCUAUCUCAAAGCAGUAGCCUAACAGAAUUGAAUUGUUACAACUAUUUGCCUUGGGAGAAAUUAAUAAUGGAAUAUGAUGCAUUACCAUCUCAUUUUCUAUGUCAUCUUUGUAUUUGCCUGACAAUUUCUUUGAAAGUCUUAAAGAAUUUUGCAAUUUUACAAUAGGUGUUUUUGUUAAGAAAAAAAUUCUCAUUUAUGUCUGCUGUACGGCCAAGGCGGAUGUACGGUACAGCAGUUCAAAACCAUGAUGUGGGCAUAUUUUAAGCAACUCUUUAAACCUAUCCCAACAUUGGUAUAAUGUUUCUCCAUUUUUUUGAGUGAAAGAAGUGAUUUGCCUUUUAAAAGAAUUUGUUCUAUGAGGUGGAAAGAAUUUUUUCAAAAACUGUUCUUGCAUGUUAUUCCAAGUUCUUACUGAUCCAGAUCUAAGGUUUUGUAGCCAAGUUUUAGCUUUAUCUUUUAAUGAAAAAGGAAAAAGCUUUAAUCUAAUUAUGUUCAUGCUACAAUUUUGGUCCGUGUAUAUAUUACAAACUUCCUCAAAAUCUCUUAGAUGCAAGUACGGAUUCUCAUAUUCUAAACCAUGAAAUGUUGGUAAAAGUUAGAUAAUACCUGGUUUAAAGUUGAAUCGAGAUGCUUUUGGAGGAAAUACUAUACACGACGGUGCUCCGGUUCUGGUUGGAUUCAUGUAGUCUCUCAGAGUCCUUGGUUGAUUCUGAUCAUGCCCAUGUUGAGAUUGGUUGUCUCCCUGAUCAAUUUGAGGAUUAAGUUCAUCCAAACCAUUUUCGCCUUCAUUCUCAUCCAUGAUUGGUGGUGGAGAUUGAGAUCUACGAAUUAACCUGCCACUUGAAGAUCGAGACCAAUGUCUCAUGCAAGGGUUAUGUUAUAAAGAUAAUAUUUACACAAAUUGAUAACAAAAUAAAAUAAAAAUAAAUAAAUAAGCAAAUAAUAUAAGUAUACAAAAGAAAAUUAAAUAACAAAAAUGGUGGUUGAACCCACCAACAAAGUAAUAAAUAAAUAAAUAAAUAAAUGCAAAAUAUAAAAAAAAAAUAUGGUGGUUGAACCCACCAAUUAAAAAAAUAAAAAAUGCAAAAUUAAAUAAAUACUGAAAAUUAAAUAACUGAAAAUAAAAGUUAAGAGUUAGUAGUUAGUUUGGUGGUUAAGCCUACCAAUAAAGCAAAAACAAAUAAAUAAAUACGAAAUAAAAUAAAUGCAGAAAAUUAAAUAACUGAAAUUAAAUAAAAGUUAGGAGUUAGCAGUUAGUAAGUUAAGAGUUAGUAAUUAGAGUUAGUAGUUAAAGUUAGUUUGGUCCAAAAUAAGAUAACUGUGGUUUAUUAGUCAAUUCAAAAGUUCCAACAAUAUCCUAAUGUCGUGCUUUUUCAGCUAAUUGGUCAAGCUAAUCUAGUGCAUCUUCAGAAUUUUUAUCUCUAAAUUCACCAUUACACAUCAUUUCUAUAAACUUGUCCACUUUGGGGUGUUAAGCCCUCGUAGAAGUAAGUGACCAAUCGCCAAGUUUCAAAACCAUGAUGUGGGCAUAUGUUAAGCAAUUCUUUAAACCUAUCCCAACAUUGGUAUAAUGUUUCUCCAUUUUUUUGAGUGAAAGAAGUGAUUUGCCUUUUAAAAGAAUUUGUUCUAUGAGGUGGAAAGAAUUUUUUCAAAAAUUGUUCUUGCAUGUUAUUCCAAGUUCUUACUGAUCCAGAUCUAAGGUUUUGUAGCCAAGUUUUAGCUUUAUCUUUUAAUGAAAAAGGAAAAAGCUUUAAUCUAAUUAUGUUCAUGCUACAAUUUUGGUCCGUGUAUGUAUUACAAACUUCCUCAAAAUCUCUUAGAUGCAAGUACGGAUUCUCAGAUUCUAAACCAUGAAAUGUUGGUAAAAGUUGGAUAAUACCUGGUUUAAAGUUGAAUCGAGAUGCUUCUGGAGGAAAUAUUAUACACGACGGUGCUCCGGUUCUGGUUGGAUUCAUGUAGUCUCUCAGAGUCCUUGGUUGAUUCUGAUCAUGCCCAUGUUGAGAUUGGUUGUCUCCCUGAUCAAUUUGAGGAUUAAGUUCGCCCAAAACGUUUUCGCCUUCAUUCUCAUCCAUGAUUGGUGGUGGAGAUUGAGAUCUACGAAUUAACCUGCCACUUGAAGAUCGAGACCAAUGUCUCAUGCAAGGGUUAUGUUAUAAAGAUAAUAUUUACACAAAUUGAUAACAAAAUAAAAUAAAAUAAAUAAAUAAGCAAAUAAUAUAAGUAUACAAAAGAAAAUUAAAUAACAAAAAUGGUGGUUGAACCCACCAACAAAGUAAUAAAUAAAUAAAUAAAUAAAUGCAAAAUAAAAAAAAUGGUGGUUGAACCCACCAAUUAAAAAAAUAAAAAAUGCAAAAUUAAAUAAAUACUGAAAAUUAAAUAACUGAAAAUAAAAGUUAAGAGUUAGUAGUUAGUUUGGUGGUUAAACCCACCAAUAAAGCAAAAACAAACAAAUAAAUACGAAAUAAAAUAAAUGCAGAAAAUUAAAUAACUGAAAUUAAAUAAAAGUUAGGAGUUAGGAGUUAGUAAGUUAAGAGUUAGUAAUUAGAGUUAGUAGUUAAAGUUAGUUUGGUCCAAAAUAAGUCCAAAUAUGUCCAAAGUAUGUCCAAAUAUGUCCAAGUCUUGAUUAUGUUGAGGAAUUUCGUCUAGGGAUUCUAUUGCAUAUUAUUUUUAAUUUUAUGGUCAAACUGUAAUUUUUAGAAGUUUAGAAUUAGCAAUUUGGGAUGAAAGUGAAACAGUUGAAAGAUGUCAGGGUCCGAACGUAAUUAUCAGAAGAUUGGGCUAGAAACAGAAAUUAUUGGGGUGAAACGAGAAUAAUGAAAGAUAUGGGGACAAAAGAGAAUUUAAGAAAAGGAAAAGGGGGCAAACGAAAUUUUACAUAUAAGAGAAAAAUAAAAAACGGAAAAACAAACCAAAUAAAAAAAAAACUUUUCCCCGGCAACGGCGCCAAAAACUUGACACAACUUAAAAGUAAAUUUUAACUCCCAAGUAUAAGAGUGUCUUGUUGUAUUAUAACUCGGUGAGUCCGAGGUCGAUCCACAGAGAAAAGAUUUAAUUAGUUUAUUUUAUUUUAUCUAAAAAUUGAAAUUAAAACUUGAAUAUAAACAACUUAAUUUAAAUGAAACUAUGGAAUUGAACUAGUUAGGGUUAUGGAUCCACUCUUAGAAAUAAAUAAAACUUAAUAAAUUCUUUUUGCCAAUUUGUUUUAGAUUUAUUACCCAAAAGAUUAAUUAUACAAAUUAUUAUUAUUUCCCUUUAAUUUUAUGAUGGAUUAAGUAUUUAUUGUGCCAAAAUUUAAUUUGUCUACAAUAAGUCAAAAUACCAUUUCACCAUGCCUUAUAAUAAGAUCUUAAGAAUUUAUUGUGCCAAAUUCAUUUGUUUGUCUACAAUAAAUCAAAAUUUCAAAAUAUAAAACAUGUAUAAAAUUAAAUAGAAAAUAAUUUAAUUUAUAAAAUUAAAAAUAGAAUUUGAUUAAAUCAUAUUUAUUUCCUAAGAGUUUCACCUUCCCCUAACUAAUAUUAUUUAGUUAAGCAUAAUUAAAAUAAAAACUGCUGUACCGUACAUCCGCCUUGGCCGUACAGCAGNNNNNNNNNNNNNNNNNNNNNNNNNNNNNNNNNNNNNNNNNNNNNNNNNNNNNNNNNNNNNNNNNNNNNNNNNNNNNNNNNNNNNNNNNNNNNNNNNNNNNNNNNNNNNNNNNNNNNNNNNNNNNNNNNNNNNNNNNNNNNNNNNNNNNNNNNNNNNNNNNNNNNNNNNNNNNNNNNNNNNNNNNNNNNNCAUCUUUAUUUUUAUUUUAUUUAUUUUGCAUGCAUGGUCGUAGGUCAUUAUUACCUAAUCUUGAACCUAUAGACCUUGAAUUAGAAAAAACACUUCGCACACAAAAGCACAUUAAAAAUAAAUUUGGAAUGGAUUUACAAGCACCACAGGAGAGGCCAUUUAAGGACUAUUUUAGUCCUUUAGCUAAUUUGAGCACAUCAUGUAUAAGAUACCCAAAUGUAGCUGCUAGGAGUUUUGACUGCUGUACCGUACAUCCGCCUUGGCCGUACAGCAGUUGCUUCACCAACCAUUGCCACGUGGCACAAUCAUGGCCAUUGAAUCAUGAACGGUUGAGAUUUAGUCAAGAUUGCCAGUUAUCCCAUGCACUCAUGUCUAUUGUAAGCUCAUUUCAUCAUCCAAUCAGUGCUCGGUCAACAGGAAAAGUCAACUUUUUUUUACACAAGCCCAAUUUUAAGCCGAUCUUGAUUGAUCUUAAGGUUUUCGGAUCUCCGAAAUCCAAAUUUGACCUCCGUUUAUCUGUUUGGGGCCUCG